rnacentral:lncRNA from 1 species
AAAGUUUUCUCGUAUUCAAAUUGUUACAAGUUCGAAUUGACACAAGUAAUCUUAUUUUACCAGCUCUAGCUUAAAGUACAAUUAAAAUAUUUUUAUAUUCCUCCAUAAAUACAAACUUCUUUAUUUGGCUAACAAUAAAAGCAUCUAAGCCAAUGAACAACUUACAUAAUACAAUUGCUAGAGUAAGAAACUAAAUUUUAAUUAGUGGAAAAUGCGAUUCAUGAUAGUUAAUUGUUUAUGACACUAUAAUCAUAAAAUUAUUCUAAUUGAAUUGCAGGUAGAAACAGCCUGGUACAUUCAAACGAAGACUUUUCACAACUCGUUUCUUCUUCUUCGUUUCGUACACCAAAACCAACUCUAAUUGCGAGUCAAACAUGCAGUCCUAAACAUUGUCUAUAUAACUUCAAUCAAACUAACAAUCAGUAAGAAACUCUUAAACAGCCCCUCCGAAAGUACUGUGUAGUCUGUCCCGAUGCCAAAAUAUUCCAAGCACUGCUUUUCCUUUUUUCCCUUCCUUCUCUUUUCAUAUGUUUUGAUUGGCUUCACCAUAAAAUUAGAAACUGCUAGCAGUAGUGGACUAUACGGAACCAGGGAUUCAACCAGGUUAGUGUAUAAUAUCGGUGUAGUUGUUGAUGUGAACUCAAACAUGGGUGCUAUGGCGAAUAUAUGCUUGUCGAUGGCUCUUUCAGAUUUUUAUGCCAAACAUCCAAAUUAUGAAACCAGAUUAUCUCUGCAAAGAUGGGAAUCGCUUGGUGCCGUUGCUGCAGCGCCAGCAGGUAAGUUUGGGACCUUCUGUCAUAUAAUUUUCCAUCACGGAUAAAGAUAUUUUAGUUUUUUAGGGUAAAGUACCCAAUUCACGUUAAAGUGUUAAUGUGAGUUUUUUUUAUUGGUCUAAUAACAAUUUUAACUUUCUAAAGUUUACACAUUCUAUUAAUUUGACUUUAAAUAUUAAAAAAUUUAAUAAAUUUAACCUUUAAUAUUUACAAAAUCUAACAUUUUAACUCCCUAAAAUAUAUAAUUUUUUCAGAAAAUAAGUAAACUUAUGCAUCAUAUAAUAAGCUAAACAAUGAAAAAAAAAAGUGGUAUGUACAAUAAAACGGGAAAAUAAAAGGAAUGAAAGUUAGCACCUUGCGAACAAGCAAUAUUUUUGCAGUCAAAUAGGAGAAACUAGAAACAAAUCAUUUUUGCCCCAACUGAAACUGCUUCUUUUAAAAUGAAACUUGAGCCCACAAAUAUUAUAUAUAUACAUAAAUCCUUAUAUUAAUUUCCAUUUUUGCUUUUUAGAGGUGAAUAUAAACUAUAAAGUAUAAUGCAAUUAUCAAAAAUUGAAUUGAUGUUUUUGAUAAAAAUAGUAAAUUAAUACUAAUUUCUUUUAAAUUUAAAUUAUUUUCAUAUUUUUUUUAAAAUACGCAAAUAAUUAAAUCAAAUUCAAUCAUGGUAGUUGGAAGUCCUUUUUAAUUUAUUGAAUUUAUUUUUUUUAGAUUGAUACAAAAAUAAUUACAAGUUUUAUUAAAAAUUUUAAAUUAAAUUAUACUAAAAAAAGAAGGUAUUGUCUUUCUCUUUGACAAGGUAGUGGAGAAAUUUGAGAUGAGAUCAUUGGCAGAGGUCAUCUGAGUGGCGACGACUCGAAGAAUUAACAUGGUUUGAUCUGAUUGGACAAGAAAUGAAUAAAUUAUAUAAUUCUUAAAACAUCAAAAAUGAUAUAUUUUGUAAACAUUGAGUAUUAAAUUUAUUGGGUUUUUUAAAAUUUGAACUAAAAACAAAGGACUAAAUUUAUUGAAAUUUUUAUUUUUAGAAUCAAAUUGAUAUAAUUUGUAAAUAUUAGAGGGCUAAAUUUGUUUUUAGACAAUAAAAAAAACCCAUGUAAAUACUUCCAUCAAAAUUUAAACGCGUUCAAUGACAAAUAUUUUUGAUUUUGAAUAGUUUAAUAACUAAAUAAAAAAAUUAAAAAAAUCCAUCAUCAAAAUAAUACAUUAGUAAACAUUUUUAUACUUCACCUUAAUUUUAUGAUAAACUAGAAUGAGGCUUAAUCCCACUUUUAGUUAUUUUCUCCAUCUUCUCAACUGAAGUGAUUGCAAGAAGUUUAACUCACUCUUCAAAUUCAUUUCAUAUAAACAUCAUAAAUGCUGAAACCAACAAAUUUAUAUAAAUUACUAAAUGCUUAGCAAGUGGG